rnacentral:rRNA from 1 species
GAUGAACGCUAGCUACAGGCUUAACACAUGCAAGUCGAGGGGAAACGGCAUCGAAAGCUUGCUUUUGAUGGGCGUCGACCGGCGAACGGGUGAGUAACGCGUAUCCAACCUGCCCAUCACUUGGGAAUAACCUUGCGAAAGUAAGACUAAUGCCCAAUGACAUCCCACGAAGGCAUCCGAAUGGGAUUAAAGAUUUAUCGGUGAUGGAUGGGGAUGCGUCUGAUUAGCUUGUUGGCGGGGUGACGGCCCACCAAGGCAACGAUCAGUAGGGGUUCUGAGAGGAAGGUCCCCCACAUUGGAACUGAGACACGGUCCAAACUCCUACGGGAGGCAGCAGUGAGGAAUAUUGGUCAAUGGGCGAGAGCCUGAACCAGCCAAGUAGCGUGCAGGAUGACGGCCCUAUGGGUUGUAAACUGCUUUUAUAAGGGAAUAAAGUGGGUCACGUGUGACUUUUUGCAUGUACCUUAUGAAUAAGGACCGGCUAAUUCCGUG